UACGUAGGGUGCAGGCGUUAAUCGGAAUUACUGGGCGUAAAGCGUGCGCAGGCGGUUUUUUAAGUCAGAUGUGAAAUCCCCGGGCUUAACCUGGGAACUGCGUUUGAAACUGGAAAGCUUGAGUGCGGCAGAGGGGGGUGGAAUUCCACGUGUAGCAGUGAAAUGCGUAGGGAUGUGGAGGAACACCGAUGGCGAAGGCAGCCCCCUGGGUCGACACUGACGCUCAUGCACGAAAGCGUGGGGAGCAAACAGG
rnacentral:rRNA from 1 species